AUUGGACGCUGGCGGCAUGCCUUACACAUGCAAGUCGAACGGUAACGCGGGGCAACCUGGCGACGAGUGGCGAACGGGUGAGUAAUGCAUCGGAACGUGCCUGGUAGUGGGGGAUAACUGCUCGAAAGAGCAGCUAAUACCGCAUACGACCUGAGGGUGAAAGGGGGGGGUCGCAAGACCUCUCGCUAUCAGAGCGGCCGAUGUCGGAUUAGCUAGUUGGUGGGGUAAAAGCCCACCAAGGCGACGAUCCGUAGCUGGUCUGAGAGGACGACCAGCCACACUGGGACUGAGACACGGCCCAGACUCCUACGGGAGGCAGCAGUGGGGAAUUUUGGACAAUGGACGCAAGUCUGAUCCAGCCAUGCCGCGUGCGGGAAGAAGGCCUUCGGGUUGUAAACCGCUUUUGUCAGGGAAGAAAUCUUCUGGGUUAAUACCCUGGGAGGAUGACGGUACCUGAAGAAUAAGCACCGGCUAACUACGUGCCAGCCGCCGCAGUAAAAC
rnacentral:rRNA from 1 species